rnacentral:misc_RNA from 1 species
GAUGAAGAACGUAGCGAAAUGCGAUAAGUAAUGCGAAUUGCAGAAUUCAGUGAAUCAUCGAAUCUUUGAACGCACAUUGCGCCCGCCAGUAUUCUGGCGGGCAUGCCUGUCUGAGCGUCGUUUCGACCCUCGCGCCCGGCUUCUGUCGGGGGCGGUGUUGGGGAUCGGCCACACCCUUCAGUGGGAGGUCGGCCCCUAAAUUCAGUGGCGACCACGCUGUAGCCUCCCCUGCGUAGUACUAAAACCACCUCGCAGGCGGAGAGCGGUGCGGCCCGCCGUAAAACCCCCCAACUUUUACAAGGUCGACCUCAGAUCAGGUAGGAAUACCCGCUGAACUUAAGCAUAUCAAUAAGCGGAGGA